GCGUGAUCUCGGCUGGGAGGGCGGUUCUCGCGAGCCUCCAGUCACGGCUGGUACCGCGAGACUCUUCUCUGUGCAGACCGCCAGAACCGAGUUGUGGAUGCGGCUUCCGGCGGUUGCUGUCUGUGACAGGCGUGUGGAAGAGCCAAGCUCUGUGGAAAAAACAGAGCAAAUCUGGGAGGCCUGGUCCCUAUACUGGAAGAACAAUGAAAGCCAGGGAGAAUGAAUCUAGAGUGGUGAACAGAUGGAUGAGGGACGAAAUCAUGUCAGUUUCUCAAUCUUGAGGACUAGCUAAGGUGACUCUGCUCUUCACUCCUUCAAUAACCUCAAAGCUGUAUAAUUCACUGGCCUUAAAUACUUAACCUAGGAGUGUAGCAGGAAAGUUUAAGAAACACCUGUUCUUCAUUAUCAUGGACUUAGCAAAGCUGUGACUGGAUAUCACCAUUGGCCCACAUUUGCUGCUGUGAAGGACUCAAUAGCAGGAACCAAGUGAACUGAGCUGGGGCUUUGGAUCAGUUAGAUGACUGAAAACUCCCACCUCAAGGCAGAGGGUAGGCGCGAGAAUAAUUUUGUCUUUGAUCCAGUUUUGGAAUAGGCUGGCUUUAAUGUUUGGUCAGGAACAAUGUAAAGCCAUCCCUCACCCAAUUCCCUCCUUCUCUCUUCGAGAGUUCACACAAAAGUCUGAUCAGAAGAGAAGCAAUCGAUACGUUUGAGUUUUGGCUUAUUAGACACUUCCAGCUCUGGUUUACUGCAGGUUUGAGAAUGAUGGUUCCUCCUCUAUCUCAGUUACCCACUCUGGAACCCAGCUAUGAAAGUGGGCUAGGGCCAGGAUGAGAAGAACUCUCAGUUUCGGGGCUUCCAGUGGAAGACACUCUUGGAAUCUCUCACAUCACAUUAAACAAUGUAUAAGAAGACAUUUCUCAAAUUGUAAAGGACCGUGUUAAUAUGUGACUGACUUUUCACAAGUAGAUAUCUUGGCAUCUGACCUGCCAGAAUGAAGAUUGGAAUGUGUGAUUCCAAGCCAGAAGGAAGUAAAUUCUAUGUACUGGAGCCCCAUGGUUACUUUUGGAAUGGUCUGCUAGACUUGACCAGCGUUGGAGAGUGUGUACUUGAUGAUGGGUGAACAGUUAAGAUGGAGUACCAAGGCCAAGGGGCAGGCAGGCUCACAGAUGGACCUUUGGAACUAAUCCAGAUGCAGAGCAACUCUAAACUCAUCCAUCCAGAGCCAAAGGUUUGGGUCUGAAUGAAUGUCCAGGGAAGAAAACGUUAUUUUAGCUAACAGGAAGAUAUAGACAGCAUUCGGAAAAUUUCAGUUUUAAAGGGUCCUAACGAGCCUGGAGAAUUACUAUGAAGCCCUCUUCUUAUGAGAGAUUUAUUUCAAGUCAAAGAACUGCAUACAGAAAAGCAUGGUUGAUGAAAUGGUUCGAUGCUUGAAGAUGUCAGACUGUAGAAUCUCUACAGGUAAGUGUGUGAUUUCUUUAGUAACAUCACAUUUGCCUGCAGAGAUUUUCCAGUCUGCCACUUUGAAGUUGUAUUUAAGAUGGGAAAAAAAGUCUUCUUUCUACAGUGAUCUUUCCAGAACUGCUAGAUUUUAAAACUACAUUUAUCUAAGGUUAAAAUUGAAUGGGAAAGAGGCGUUAUUGUUUGGCAUUCAGAUAAGAGAGUAAAUGAGGAUUCUGCCACACAUCUCCACAGAGAAUGAAGGAAAAUGGGAAAAAAGAAGCUUCCCCAAACCGCAGCCAGGCUAAUUUGUAACAGUGUUUUAGCCACACUGGAAGUCUUAAGGUCAAUCCAAGUAAAUAUCCUUGAGUUUUAAGCAAUAUUACCUAAUGGUUUGACUUUGCACUUGGGUUUUCCUCAGUGUCUUUCUUAAUUGACACAUGUUCAAUUGCAAGAGAGAUGACUAGAAUGAGGUGUGCUUCUCACUUUCAUUUUCCCCAUUUCUCUUCUACUUUAGUAGCUGUCUUAUGAUAAAUAAUAUCACCUGCUGCUAAAUUUUAAAGUGUUGGAAUAAUGCAUAAUGCAUAAUAAUGCAUAAUAAAUAGUAUUUACUUCAGAAGCUCAAGAAUAAUCUGUGAAUAUUGUGAUAUUAUUAACUCUACAAUGUUAGGUCUUUUUGUUCAUUUGUGAGAACAUAGUUUUUUUUCCCAGUGUUAUCUGGAAAUUUAUUUCAACAUUUGACUACAGCAGGGACUUUGUAUGUUUUGCUCCCUGCAGUAUCCAAGCACAGAGAACAGUUCCUGGCACAUAAUAGGUACUCAAUUAACAUUUAUUUGCUGACUGGACAUUAAAUAGGAUUUUUUGUGUGUGUAUGCAAAUGCUUAUUUAUCAUAAGAAAGACAAUUAUACAUAAUUAUAUAUAUCUCAAGUCACAUAUUGUGUUGAUAGAGUGAAUAUAUUUAAUUUCAGACAAGACAAAAAUAGAACAUUUAAAUAUAAAAACCUAUCUUGGUAAUAAAGAACAUUCCUAUAAUAAAAUACUUUAUAAUGGAAAUUUUAAAAAUUAAUUGCCUUAUAGUCUAAUAAUGUUAUAUUAUGCUUUUCUGGCAUGUAGUUUUAUUUCAGAUGAUGAGUUUUCUAGUCAUGGAUGAUAUCCAAAUAUAUGUAAUAGUGAAUCACAAAAUUAGGUUUGAUUUUGUUUAUACUACACAAUACAGUGUCUUAAUUAUCUGUUAAUCUGCUAUAUACACAUCCUUUGACCCCAAGAUGACUUUAAAAUCAUCCUCUCAAUUGCAUUCUGACUUUUCUAGAUAAACCAUAAAUACAAACUUAAUAUUAAAUCUCUCAAAGUGUGCAGAGGAUAUAACAGGUGGCCCUGAUCUGAUGUGAGUGGGGCUAAAUAAUGUGUUGAAAUAAUUGGAGCUUAGAAAGAUAGAAAACAUCUGGGUUUCAAGGGAGAACAUUUGCAUCCUUUUUACUGCUUUUUAAAUAGAGGGCUACAUCAUUCUGGGUUAUGUAGAAAGAAAGGUCUAGUGUUAGGAACUCCAUGACCCUUAUUCUGUUCAUCUAAGCUCAGCUCCAAAGGGUGGGACUGGUAUACUUGAUUAUGGGAGAAAGAAAAAUUUCCUUAUGCCAUUUUUAAUUUUCUCUUUUCCAAUCAUGCUGUUUGUUUUAUAUGUGCUUGCAGGGCCUAGUUAACAGUAUCACUUGUUCUUUUGAAGGAAUUUGGACUUGUGAAUGAUGGAAUCAUAGUUGCCAUGUCCCUGAUUGUUGAUAUCUUGUUUCUUUGCUCCAUGGAAAGGCAUGGAUGGAACAGAGUGUUGGAAAAUCAUCAUCAUUUUAGCUUCAUGACUAGGCUCUUUAGAGACAGCCAGCCUAUAAUACAAGAUUCCUGUUAGUUUAAGCACUUCCAUAGAGAAAAAGACCCUUUUAUAAAUGCAAACAUUUGACAUAUAAGCAUUAUCUAAUGUUAACAUAUCAGUACUGAUGAAUUUACAAGACUAAACCUACCAGAGAUUAAAGGUUUGAAAAAAAAUCAAAUAGUAUGGUUAUAUUUUGAAAGAUGAGAAGGCCAAGAUAUACCCAGUGGUUCUCAACCCUAACUGUACAUCAGAGUCAUCUUGGAAUUUAUGAAACAGAUUCCCAUGCCCCAACCAAGACCUCCUGAACCUGAACUUUCAAGAUGUGAAUUUGAGAAGUCUCUAUUUCAAAAAAUUAAUAAACUUUAUUUUUUAGAGUAGUUUUAGGUUCCCAGCAAAACUGAAUAACAAGUACAGAGAGUUCCCACAUACUCCCUAAUCCCACAUACCAGAAGUUUCCCCUACUGUGGACAUUAUGCAUCACAGUGAUACAUUUGUUACCAUGAUGAACCAGCACGGACACAUCACUAUCAGUUAAAGUUUGUUUUAAAUUAAGAUCAUUUUAGCUGUUCUGUGGGUUUUGACAAAUGUUUGAUGACAUGUAGCCAUUAUUAUAGUAUCAUACAGAACACUUUUACUGGCCCCCAUAUUCUUCGUGCUCUGCCUAUUCAUUCCUCCCUCUCUCCAACCUCUGAUCUUUUCACUGUCACCAUAGUUUUGUCUUUUCCAGAAGGUCAUAAGGUUGGAAACAGUACAUAACAUUUUCAGAUGAGCUUUUUUUUCACUUAGUCAUAUUCAUUUACAUUUUCUCCAUGUUUUUUUAUGGCCUAAUAGUUCAUUUCUUUUUGGCACUGACUAAUAUCCCACUGUUUGAAUGUACCACAGUUUAUACAUUCACCUACUGAAGGACUUCAUGUUUGCUUCCAUUUUUUUGUCAUUUAUGAAUAAAAUUGCUGUAAACCACAUGCAGAUUUUUCAUGCAAAUAAAAGUUCUCAAUUAAUUUUGAUAACUACCAAGGAGCAUGAUUGCUGAAUUACAAUAGGAGUAUAGUUAGUUUUCUGAGAAACUGCCAAAUUGUUUUCCAAAGUGGAUGUGCCAUUUUUCAUUUCCACCGGCAACAAGUGAGAGUUCCUGUUGCUACAUAUCCUCGUCAGCAUUUAGGGUUGUUAAUGUUUUGAAUUCUGGCCAUUCUAGUAGUUUGUCACUGUUGUUUUAAUUUGCAAAUUCCUAAAAACAUAUGACGAUGAGCAUUUUUUCAUAUGCUUACUUGUCAUCGGUAUAUCUUCUUUGAUGAGAUGUCUGUUCAGGUCUUUUACCCAUUUUUAAAUCCAGUUGUUUUCUUGUUGCUGAGUUUCAAGAGUUCUUUGCAUAUUUUGAAUAACAGUCCUUUAUCAGAAAUAUUUUUUACAAAUAUUCUCCCAGUCUGUGGCUUGUCUUCUCACUCCCUUGACUUUGUUCAGACUUUUAAUUUAAAUGAGGUCCGAUGCAUCCAUUUUUCCAUAGAUUACUUUGGUAUUGUGUCUUAAAAGUCAUUCCCAUACCCAGGUCACCUAGGUUUUCUACUAUGGUACCUGCUAGAACUUUUAUAGUUAUGCAUUUAACAUUUAGUUAAUUUUAAGUUAAUUUUUGUGAAGGGUGUAAGUUCUGUAUCUUGAUUAGGUUUUAUUUUAUUUUAUUUUAUUUUUUGUACGUGGAUGUCCAGUUCCAGCACCAUUUGUGGAAAUGACUGUCUUUUCUCCAUUGUAUUGCCUUUGCUCCUUUGUCAAAGAUCAGUUGACUAUAUUUAUUUGAGUCUGUUUCUGGGCUCUCUAUUCUGUUCCAUGUUUUUAUUAUCUCUCCUUUCACUAACACCACACUGUCUUUUUUUUUUUUUUAAGGGCUUCACUUGAGGCAUAUGGAGUUCCCAGGCUAGGGUCAAAUUA